UACGUAGGGUGCAGGCGUUAAUCGGAAUUACUGGGCGUAAAGCGCACGUAGGCGGAUCUUUAAGUCAGAGGUGAAAUCCCAAGGCUCAACCUUGGAACUGCCUUUGAUACUGGGGAUCUUGAGUCCGGGAGAGGUGAGUGGAACUGCGAGUGUAGAGGUGAAAUUCGUAGAUAUUCGCAAGAACACCAGUGGCGAAGGCGGCUCACUGGCCCGGUACUGACGCUGAGGUGCGAAAGCAUGGGGAGCGAACAGG
rnacentral:rRNA from 1 species